rnacentral:rRNA from 1 species
CCUCUUUCAGUAGGGAAGAAGCGAAAGUGACGGUACCUGCAGAAGAAGCGCCGGCUAACUACGUGCCAGCAGCCGCGGUAAUACGUAGGGCGCAAGCGUUAUCCGGAAUUAUUGGGCGUAAAGAGCUCGUAGGCGGUUUGUCGCGUCUGCCGUGAAAGUCCGGGGCUCAACUCCGGAUCUGCGGUGGGUACGGGCAGACUAGAGUGAUGUAGGGGAGACUGGAAUUCCUGGUGUAGCGGUGAAAUGCGCAGAUAUCAGGAGGAACACCGAUGGCGAAGGCAGGUCUCUGGGCAUUAACUGACGCUGAGGAGCGAAAGCAUGGGGAGCGAACAGGAUUAGAUACCCUGGUAGUCCAUGCCGUAAACGUUGGGCACUAGGUGUGGGGGACAUUCCACGUUUUCCGCGCCGUAGCUAACGCAUUAAGUGCCCCGCCUGGGGAGUACGGCCGCAAGGCUAAAACUCAAAGGAAUUGACGGGGGCCCGCACAAGCGGCGGAGCAUGCGGAUUAAUUCGAUGCAACGCGAAGAACCUUACCAAGGCUUGACAUGAACCGGAAACACCUGGAAACAGGUGCCCCGCUUGCGGUCGGUUUACAGGUGGUGCAUGGUUGUCGUCAGCUCGUGUCGUGAGAUGUUGGGUUAAGUCCCGCAACGAGCGCAACCCUCGUUCUAUGUUGCCAGCGCGUUAUGGCGGGGACUCAUAGGAGACUGCCGGGGUCAACUCGGAGGAAGGUGGGGACGACGUCAAAUCAUCAUGCCCCUUAUGUCUUGGGCUUCACGCAUGCUACAAUGGCCGGUACAAAGGGUUGCGAUACUGUGAGGUGGAGCUAAUCCCAAAAAGCCGGUCUCAGUUCGGAUUGGGGUCUGCAACUCGACCCCAUGAAGUCGGAGUCGCUAGUAAUCGCAGAUCAGCAACGCUGCGGUGAAUACGUUCCCGGGCCUUGUACACACCGCCCGUCAAGUCACGAAAGUUGGUAACACCCGAAGC